AGCAAUCCAUGAGUAGAGUGGCAAACGGGUGAGUAACACGUGGGUGACCUGCCUUCGAGUGGGGGAUAACGUCCCGAAAGGGACGCUAAUACCGCAUAACAUGCUGUCUUUUAAGAGAGAGACAUCAAAGCCGGGGACCGCAAGGCCUGGCGCUAGAAGAGGGGCCCGCGCCUGAUUAGCUAGUUGGUGGGGUAAUGGCUCACCAAGGCAACGAUCAGUAUCCGGCCUGAGAGGGCGGACGGACACACUGGGACUGAGACACGGCCCAGACUCCUACGGGAGGCAGCAGUGGGGAAUUGUUCGCAAUGGGCGCAAGCCUGACGACGCAACGCCGCGUGGAGGAUGAAGACCUUCGGGUCGUAAACUCCUUUCGAUCGAGACGAAUGGCCUCCGGGCUAACAUCCUGGAGGAGUGACGGUACCGAGAGAAGAAGCCCCGGCUAACUCCGUGCCAGCAGCCGCGGUAAUACGGGGGGGGCAAGCGUUGUUCGGAAUUACUGGGCGUAAAGGGCUCGUAGGCGGCCAACUAAGUCAUACGUGAAAUCCCUCGGCUUAACCGGGGAACUGCGUCUGAUACUGGAUGGCUUGAGUUCGGGGAGAGGGAUGCGGAAUUCCAGGUGUAGCGGUGAAAUGCGUAGAUAUCUGGAGGAACACCGGUGGCGAAGGCGGCAUCCUGGACCGAUACUGACGCUGAGGAGCGAAAGCCAGGGGAGCAAACGGGGAUUACAUACCCCGGUAGUCCUGGCCCUAAACGAUGAAUGCUUGGUGUGGCGGGUAUCGAUCCCUGCCGUGCCGAAGCUAACGCAUUAAGCAUUCCGCCUGGGGAGUACGGUCGCAAGGCUG
rnacentral:rRNA from 1 species